rnacentral:rRNA from 1 species
GACGAACGCUGGCGGCGUGCUUAACACAUGCAAGUCGAACGGAAAGGCCCUGCUUUUGUGGGGUGCUCGAGUGGCGAACGGGUGAGUAACACGUGAGUAACCUGCUCUUGACUUUGGGAUAACUUCAGGAAACUGGGGCUAAUACCGGAUAGGAGCCCCUGCUCCAUGGUGGGGGUUGGAACGUUUCGGCGGUUGGGGAUGGACUCGCGGCUUAUCAGCUUGUUGGUGGGGUAGUGGCUUACCAAGGCUUUGACCGGUAGCUGGCCUGAGAGGGUGACCAGCCACAUUAGUACUGAGAUACGGCCCAGUCUCCUACGGUAGGCAGCAGUGGGGAAUAUUGCACAAUGGUCGGAAGCCUGAUGCAGCAACGCCGCGUGCGUAAUGACGGCCUUCGGGUUGUAAACCGCUUUCGCCUGAGACGAAGCGUGUGUGACGGUAAUGAGUAAAGAAGCACCGGCUAACUACGUG